AACGAACGCUGGCGACAUGCCUAACACAUGCAAGUCGAACGAGAUCUUCGGGUCUAGUGGCGCACGGGUGCGUAACGCGUGGGAAUCUGCCCUUUGGUUCGGAAUAACAGUUGGAAACGACUGCUAAUACCGGAUGAUGACGAAAGUCCAAAGAUUUAUCGCCAGAGGAUGAGCCCGCGUAGGAUUAGCUAGUUGGUGUGGUAAAGGCGCACCAAGGCGACGAUCCUUAGCUGGGCUGAGAGGAUGAUCAGCCACACUGGGACUGAGACACGGCCCAGACUCCUACGGGAGGCAGCAGUGGGGAAUAUUGGACAAUGGGCGAAAGCCUGAUCCAGCAUGCCGCGUGAGUGAUGAAGGCCUUAGGGUUGUAAAGCUCUUUUACCCGGGAUGAUAAUGACAGUACCGGGAGAAUAAGCUCCGGCUAACUCCGUGCCAGCAGCCGCCGUAA
rnacentral:rRNA from 1 species